AGGCCCUCUAGUGGCGAUCCAUGGAAAUAAAACUGGCAUGUGGCAGUCAGUGGUGAGUUUGAAUGAAAGUAAUUGCAUAUCCUGUGGCAUUGCUGGACAGCAAAGUGUCCACUGGAUGCACAUUUGAAAAUCUCAGCGUAUGCAGAAUGUAAUCCAGGUAUUGUUUGCCUGCUAUGAAUUCUUCAAUCUCCAUAUCUGAAGCGCCUACUUAUUUAACAUACUGAUUUUGUAUAUUUGUAGUAAAGAGAGGACACACGAAUGAUUAUUAUAGUUAUUCUCACUACUGUAAAGCCAUAAUAAUGUUAUAAUGACUUGUCUUUCAAAGUGUGAAAGAAGCAUUCCGAAUCAUUCUGUAAAUAUGAAGCUCCGCCCAUAAAAUUAGCCAAUUACCGCUUAGAGGGAAAUUGUUGUUGUUUAAAAUGUUGUUGGUUAAAUAAAACAUGAUUUGGCUAUGUUACAGCGAUCAUUUUUAUGAUGUAAAUGCAAAAUUUGGGUAGACCUGACAAGAAGUGUUUUUCGUUAGGCACGUUGUGACAGUUUAAAUAUGUUAUUUCGAGCAGGCGGCGAGACAGAUGAAAGCAGUGACAAUCAAGCAAAAUGAAUUUGUUUCAUGGAUCAAAGAGCGCGCACAAAACCAAUCCAGGAGCCCAUUCCAUCCCUCCUCUAAGGAAGCGGUGACUCGUUCAGGGUGACAUU
ensembl:lncRNA